ACAAUAUAUAUGGACCAUAAUUUGCUAUUGGGCUCCGUUUCCUAUAACUAUAGAAAAGUGAUAAAAUUUGAAUUACUGUAAGAAAAGUUGUAACUACAUCUAAAGAUGCCAUUAUUUUUAUUAACAUACAAGUGUAUGCUACUCUUCCCUAGAAAAAAAAUUGAAAUAUACGAAUUUCAAAGAUUCUACAACCGUAUUUUUGUGUCGUUUCUCGCGUUACUUUUUGCUUCCGAAGAGCAUAACGCUGACUGAUUUAUAGAUAAUCGUCACCGGCAAAUUCGUAACUUUUGCUUUCAAAUAACAAAGAACAUCGACCAAUAAGAAUAGUGAGAAGAAAAUGCCGAGAACUAUAAGUAUUUAUGUAGCAGAUGUAAGAACAGUGGCGUGAUUUUUGUGUCCGAUUUCGUAACGCAAAUUUUAGAUGAUGUAAUCUGCUUUGUUG
rnacentral:lncRNA from 1 species